AUGGCGAGCCGCCGCUCCGGCUCCCUGGGCCUCCUCGGGCGCCGGCGGAGGCUUCGGCUGCGGAGGCGCGUCGGGGCCCCGCGGCGCCCGGCCCGCCCCCCGCGCUCCGCCGCCGCCGAGCAGGAGCCCGACGCCUGGCGGGACUACGCCGCCGCCUUCGUGGCCGCGGGGCUGGUGGCUGCGCCGCCCCCGCCGGAGGAGGAGGAGCCCGAGCGGGGGGAGCGCCCGGCGCUGGCGGCCGUCGAAGCCAAGGAGAGCGGCGCGGUCCUGCUUCUCCCUCAGGGGCAGACGCUGACGUUCACGGGCAAGUGCUUCCUGACGUGCCUGUAUGGCUCUGUGCAGGUGUUUGGGUUCAACAUUGCCCAGGACCAGCCCCCUUACAGCCUCUUCUCCCCCCAUUCCCACUGCGCUCUCACCAUUGAAGCCGUGGCCUACAAGGAGCUGGAUAAGUCCAAGAAAGAGAAGAGGACAGAGGCCAAGGCCAUCCUCAAAGCACACCGGGUACCCCAAGAAGCAAGAUGCCGCCUGAUGAAGAGCUUUGCCCCCCAGUGUUCCGUGGUGUUGUUGGAGCAUCUGGAUACUCCAGGGACGAGGUUCAUUCUCAGCCACUCCUGUUUCUCCCACAUUUUCAGAGCCAAGAGAAACAAGACUCCCUCUUUCACCCCAGAAGAUGCCGUGCUGGCUUCCACGGGCGUUGGGAGGCAGGAUCCAGGGAGCGGCCUGCUUAUGUCGGACAGUGCACUUUCAGCGGUCGAGGAGCUCAUCCAGGUGUGCCAAGAGGAAGACGAGAACUGCCCAGUUAUCCUCGUUUGUGGCUCCAAAAGUGUUGGGAAGUCGACUUUUAACAGAUACCUCAUUAAUCUUUUGCUGAACCGGCUUCCCUGCAUUGAGUUCUUGGAAUGUGAUCUGGGGCAGCCUGAGUUCACACCCCCUGGCUGCGUUUCCCUCAUUAAUGUGACGGAGCCGCUUCUGGGUCCACCAUUCACUCACCAGCGCACCCCACGCAAAAUGGUCUACUUUGGGGAGACCAGCUGCGAACAAGACACCGAAAGAUACAUCGACACUCUGAAAUACGUGUUCAGUGCCUACGAGAGAGACGUGCCUCUCUUAAUCAAUACAAUGGGAUGGGUGAAAGGGGCUGGGCUGCUCCUCCUGGUUGACAUCAUCCGGCUGCUGUCACCCAGCCACCUUGUCCAGAUCAGUGCUCAGGACUUCACGGACAUGCCCACGCUUUCCCCGGAAUAUAUCCGCUGUGCCGCGGGCCUGCAUACCAGAGGCAAAGUGGCCCCCCGCUGCAAGAAUCUGGGGAGUGGGCUGGGGGACUUGGAGCCGUGCCGGGGCCAAGGAGACUCCCUCCCCCCACACAAGCUGCUGUGUGUCCAGCCACAGUUUCCAGGAGCAGGGGUUGCUGGCGAUGGGCGAACCCACAGCAGUGUCCUGCGGGAUAUGGCCGUCUUGGGCUACCUGGGCCAGUUGCAGCCCCCAGAGGUGGACCCGGUGCUUCCUUUACACAGCCUGGUGCCCUAUCAGGUGCCUUUCAACGCUGUCGCCCUCAAGGUCAUCCAUGCUGAUGUGGCUCCUGCCCAUAUCCUGUACUCUCUCAAUGCCAGCUGGGUUGGCCUCUGUCGGAUACCGGAUGAGGUCCGGGGCAAGAGUGACGGGCCCGUCGUGCUCACACAGACUCCCAUCUGUGACUGCCUGGGCUUUGGAAUUGUCAGAGGGAUAGACAUGGAUAAGAAGCGUUACUACAUUCUGACCCCUGUAGCUCCAGAGAACCUGAGACGAGUGAACUGUUUACUGAUUGGAAGUAUUCCCAUUCCAAACUGCAUCUUCCUGAACCAACAGGCUUACCCACGGUGUGCCUGUUGGAACAGAAGGAUGUUUGGGGCAUAAAAUUGAUAACUCCCAUAAAAGCCCCCUCCAGCUUCUUGGACAAAGGAGCAUACAUCAGCCGGGGAUUGAAGGGGAGAUACCGUACGUUACAUCGCAGUAUAACUAUGACAUUUCAGGCGCUGGGAAACUGAAGCUGAAAAAGCAUCUCAAGAGGAGGGAACACAACCAGCCAUGAGCUCCUUUUAAAGCCGCCUCCACGGGCACGGCUUCAGCUCAGAGGACUUGGCACGUUCUCAGGAGAGAGCAGUUUCAGUAUUCACGGCCGCUGGCGUCAUGCUGAUCCGCCCCCGCGUCUUUUGUUAUGGUGUGUGUUUUCCCCUUUCUGAUUUGGACAUUAAACAUUUUGGCAUAAAACUCC